ensembl:misc_RNA 7SK 7SK RNA
GGAUGUGAGGGCAACUCGGCUGUGACAUCUGUCACCCCAUUGAUCACCCAGCUCAAUACAGCUCAUCUGGCUGGCUUAGGAGGAUGUGGCCCUCCUCUGUCACCUCUAUGCACCUCCCUCUGGAAGCCGCACCUGCGCCUGGCUGAAGGGCAGUUGACAAUGAAUGACCUCCCCUGAACACAGAACAAUGAUUCUUCGAUGCAGGGUAUAGGAGUAGCUGUGUCCUGGGGCUGCACCCAGCAAGCUCACAGACAGAGGCAGAUAUUUCUAAUAACCAUAAGCAUGGUGAGGUUUG